rnacentral:tRNA from 1 species
GCCGAGGUCGCAUAACCUGGUAUUGCGCUGAAUUGCUAAUUCAGUGUCCUCUGGACGUGUGGGUUCAAAUCCCACCCUCGGCG